GCCUGUCAAGCACCAGCGCUAAUUGAUUUCUCUCAUCUAAUCUACUUUCUUUCCGUCAUCGUCGACAUGCCGUCCCCCUCACCACACCAUUAUCACUUGGAAAGUACCUUCUUCUCACUCCUUACUACUCUGACUCCCCAUUUGCUCCAUCUCACUCUUUCUCUGGCUCGUCUCCUCUGUGAAAACGACCGAUAGUAGCUUUCUCCGUCUGUGAGACCCAAUUAAAUGACCAAAGCACGCCCAGAAAACAUCUCCAUUAAAUUCUCAUGUUUGCCCACACACGAUAGCACGUAACAGCAACAGACUGGAGGGCAUUUUAGUCACUUCAAUCUAG
rnacentral:misc_RNA from 1 species